GAUGAACGCUGGCGGCGUGCCUAAUACAUGCAAGUCGAGCGAACAGACGAGGAGCUUGCUCCUCUGACGUUAGCGGUGGACGGGUGAGUAACACGUGGAUAACCUACCUAUAAGACUGGGAUAACUUCGGGAAACCGGAGCUAAUACCGGAUAACAUGUUGAACCGCAUGGUUCAACAGUGAAAGACGGUCUUGCUGUCACUUAUAGAUGGAUCCGCGCCGCAUUAGCUAGUUGGUAAGGUAACGGCUUACAAAGGCAACGAUGCGGAGCCGACCUGGAGGGGUGAUCGGCCAAACUGGAACUGAGACACGGGCCAGACUCCUACGGGAGACAGCAGUAGGGAAGCUUCCGCAAUGGGCGAAAGUCUGACGGAGCAACGCCGCGUGAGUGAAGAAGGUCUUCGGAUCGUAAAACUCUGUUAUUAGGGAAGAACAAAUGUGUAAGUAACUAUGCACGUCUUGACGGUACCUAAUCAGAAAGCCACGGCUAACUACGUGCCAGCCGCCGCGGUAA
rnacentral:rRNA from 1 species